UGAGAAGGAAGAGAGGGAAGGGGAGUUUAGGAACUCCUAAGGCUCUCCCAGGUGGCAACAGCUGCUACAUUGUAUGUCCAUGAUGUCCAGCCUGGCAGCUGCUUUACUUCCCCAGAUUGGUUCUCUUCAAGAUGAAAGCUUGACAUUUAAGAAGUUGUAGGAAAUCUCACCUCCCAGCUUCCUGAGAUGAACACUGGGGACUGGAGCAAGGUCAUUGCUGUGUUCUGUAAAAAGGAAACUAAAAGGCAGAAGUUCCCUCAGGAGUUGGACAUCUAAAGAGCAAACCUGCAAUGACAUGUGAUAUGCCAGAGCCUCACAGAAGAAGAAGAGAGUGGCUGCCAUCCAGGAAACACUGAUUUCACUCUCUGUACAGAAAUCAACAAGUGGGCAGAUUCCAGGGGCUAUCAUGAAUUGCAUACCACGCCUCUUCUCUUGAUUUCCCAACCUUUCCAAAGAUGAAGCAUGUUUGGGUUCUGUCUGCCGUGCUCUGGAUACCACCUCGCCGAUUAGCACCGAGUGACUGUGGGACCCAGACACUGACAUCUCUGGUGCAAUGGGGAAUGUCCUGGGCUGGGGCUCAG